GUGGGCGUAGUGGCAUCUCCUUGUGAUUUUAAUUUGCAUUUCCUUGAUAAAAAAUGACAUUGAGUAUUUUUUAUGUGCUUCUUGGACAUUCUGGUGUAUAUACUUUUUGACUCUUUAAAUCUUUUGCCCAUUUUUAAUUCGUGUGUUUGUCUUUCUGUUGUUAAAUUGUCACAGUUCUUUGUAGAUCCUGGAAAACAGUCCUUUGUCAAAUAUAGGUUUUGCCGGUGCUUCCUUCAAGUCUGUAACUUGCCUGUUUAUUUUCUUAAUGGUGUCUUUUGAUGAGUAGCAGUUUUUCAUUUUUUUUGAUGAAGCCUAAUUUUUUUUAUGGUUAUUGCUUUCUAUGACCUAAGAAAUCUUGGCUAUCUUUUUUUUAAGUCAUGAACAUAUUCUCCCAUACAUUCUCUUUAGAAAGACUUAGGGUUUUACCUUUUAUAUUUGGGAUAUUUAUUUUGUCUUUUCGCAAGUUUUCAAGACUAGAUCUUCUAAAAAAAAUAAUGCCCCAUUAAGGUUACUUUUAUACAUAAACAAAUAAAUGAAGCCGAAUCAUGUUAUGAGAAACAUAUUACAAUGGCUUUCCUGAAAAAAAAUAUGUGCCAAUGUGGAAUAAUUGAAAAGAUCAGACCAUCUUCCACAUUCAUGUUUUUUCUAAUGAGAUUUUACUUUUAAGUAAUCUCUACACCCAGUGUGGGACCUGAACCACAACCCCGAGAUCAAGAGUCCCAUGGUCGCUGACUGAGCCAGCCAGGCAGGCACCCCUUCGUGUUUUGUUUUCAAACACAUAAUUCAAGAAGAGGAAGAAUGGAUUCUCUGAUUCUACAGCAACCUUGAAUUAAAGAGGUGUUCUCAACAUACAUUUGUGAAGUUAAAAGAAAAUUGACCGCAGUAUGCAUUUGUACAUAAGGGGGAAUGGUGCAGAGAGAGGAGUAGUCCUGCGCCUCACAAACAGAAUCUGAGAAGAAGGGGAGAAAGGAAACCCUUGUCUUCCUUGAUUGCUCGGGAAGGAGAACUUUACUCUGCAGGUUCCCAUUUGUCUCCACACUUGUUUUCUUCUGCCCCACCCCUUCUGAUCUGAGUCAGAGGAGGACCCUGGCUACAUUGCUUCAGGCAGAGAAUCAUGUGUGUUCCUUUACAGGGCCUGGCUCCCCGCUGUUGUGUUGGAAGAGGAAUCCGACACCCUCCUCAGUGCCCGGGCCAUCUGAUAGUCUAUGCAACACGGAGCAGUGUUUCAACUCUCACAUAACAUUUGCUCCAGAAAUGGAUUUUCUGAAACUUUCCACUUAAAUAACUGUGGAUUAACUUUCAGGGAGGCCAACAUAGUGGAAACUAAGCAGAGUAUAUAACCCCAGACCAUCGGACAGGUACACAUUGUCACAGUUCUGCCUUAAUUCACCGCACAUUACUUCCUUUGAAAUUUGCGGCUGGAGUCUGCACUCUUCACCUUUCAAUGUCUGGAAAUACAUAAAUCAUCUGGCCAUUUGUUCACCUUGUUUAAGUUGCACAUCUGUGUGGGGUACCUUGCAUGUGAUUUACACAGUGAAUGGCCCUGCUUUCGGAGCAAGUUAAUGAUAUAAUAUCCCCAUUUAUAUUCAGAGCAGUCAACACUUUCUAGCUCUCAGAAUAAUAAAAGCACCUGCAUUUAAUAUACAUAGAAGAAUGGGAAGGCAAAUAGCAGAUAAGGCACAAUCAGAGACAGAGAGAGCACACCAGCAUAGGGAACAGCAGGCAGAGGGAGACACAGACUCCCUGCUGAGCAAGAAGCCUGAUGGGGGACUCCGUCCCAGGACCCUGGGAUCACAACCUGAGCUGAAGGCAGACGCUUAUCUGACUGAGCCACCUAGGUGUCCCAAGGCUGCAGACAUUUAUGGUAAUACGGCUUUUGCACAAAGAAUGAAGACAGGGCAUUUUGCCAUGAGGCCCUAAAAUCUUACGUGGCCAGCUGCAGGCUAAGUAAGGAAUGGAGACUUUGAAUUUUGACUUUGAGCUGUAGGAACAGAGAGACUUUCUUCAUUCUUUCAGCUUCUGGUUGCUCAUUUGUUUUAUUCAUUGCCACGGUACGGGAUAGCCGCCCUCACUAGCAGGAAGUGGCUUGGCUGUGUAUGAGGUAUUACUGAGAAUCCUCACGACUGUUCCGUUUUUUGCCGCUUGUCUCCACAUAUGCCUCUUUCGGCACAGCACCUCUGGAUUUUAGCGAAAUCUGCUCAACAUUUCCGAAUCCCUGUGAUGGAUCAGAGGCAUUCAGAUCUCUGCAAAGACAUCAGAGGAGGAAAAACAAAGAAGUGUCUGCGUUGGUGCGCACAGGCUGAUGCCCUGCUGACGUGUCCCACGUGACGACAGCCAGCAUCGCGUGUGCUCCCACAGCCCUGGCUCUUCCCACACUUCUAUCUCUCCCACUCAGGAAACCAUUUGCGGAUGCAAGGGAGUGAGUGGGUGUGGAUGUGAGGCCAUUAGAAGGAUUCCCUUAAGUCUGUUCUCCUUUAUAUUCAAAAGCAAAAGAUAAACCCGUUGUGAAUUUGGGGUUUAAAAAAAUUAGCCAUGCCAUCAGGGAAAUACAAAUCAAAACCACAAUGAGAUAUCACCUCACACCAGUCAGAAUGGCUAAAAUCAACAAGUCAGGAAAUGACAGAUGCUGGCGAGGAUGCGGAGAAAGGGGAACCCUCCUACACUGUUGGUGGGAAUGCAAGCUGGUGCAACCUCUCUGGAAAACAGCAUGGAGGUUCCUCAAAAUGUUGAAAAUAGAACUGCCCUAUGACCCAGCAAUUGCACUACUGGGUAUUUACCCUAAAGAUACAAACGUGGUGAUCCAAAGGGGCACGUGCACUCGAAUGUUUAUAGCAGCAAUGUCCACAAUAGCCAAACUAUGGGAAGAACCUAGAUGUCCAUCAACAGAUGAAUGGAUCAAGAAGAUGUGGUAUAUAUACACAAUGGAAUACUAUGCAGCCAUCAAAAGAAAUGAAAUCUUGCCAUUUGCGACAACAUGGAUGGAACUAGAGCGUAUCAUGCUUAGCGAAAUAAGUCAAGCAGAGAAAGACAACUAUCCUAUGAUCUCCCUGAUAUGAGGAAGUGGUGAUGCAACAUGGGGCUUAAGUGGGUAGGAGAAGAAUCAAUGAAACAAGAUGGGAUUGGGAGGGAGACAAACCAUAAGUGACUCUUAAUCUCACAAAACAAACUGAGGGUUGCUGGGGGGAGGGGGGGUGGGAGAAAGGGGGUGGGGUUAUGGACAUUGGGGAGGGUAUGUGCUUUGGUGAGUGCUGUGAAGUGUGUAAACCUGGCGAUUCACAGACCUGUACCCCUGGGGAUAAAAAUAU